AAGCCACUGCAGCUAACGAAGCAAUAUAAAUCACAAUAAUUUUGAAUGCUUUAACUCAACGAAAGCCCUAAAGGCCAAGCUGUGGAAAUACUGGAGUCAAAAAUAAUUACAAUUUGAGGAAUCGAGCGAGCCCGGAGUGAAGCUGAGCGACGGGAAAAGGCUACGGAGAAAAAAAGGUAAGUCCCGACCAUCUGAUGUCUAUUGUGAUCGAAGGGAGGUCCUU